ensembl:lncRNA novel transcript
UCUGGAGAUCUUAAUUUUUUUGGUGCAGCCAAAGAAUAAGUCCUCCAGGGACAGGUAGAGAUCCCGUUCGACUUGGGGGUCCUGCUUCUUGACCCCUCGGCCCUGGAGCCCCCCAAAGUUCAAAUCUACCUCACUUCCUUCUGCAUCAAAAAACUCUGCAGGAGGAAAGGGAGGCACUCCCUCUGGUGGCCGCGCUCAGGAGUGCCAGAAGAGACUGCUGGUAGUCCUCGGCAGGAAGUGCAAAGACAGCCCCAUCCUGGCUCUGCCCCUGAUGUGCUGUGUGAUCCGUGGGCUUCAGUGUCUUGGUCUGUGGGAUGGGGUAAUAAUGCCUGACCUGCCUUCCACCAUUAAGAUGAAGAGCUAAAACUUGC